CAGUCAUCAUUCAGCCUGUGGCGGACCUUCUGGUAGAUGGCCGACAUGGUCUUCAUGUUGCUCUUCCUCCACUGGCGGCCCAGGUACUUUGUCUGGAUCUUAAGCAGCUUCAGGACGUAGAGCUGCAUCAUGGCCUGCUUCACCUUCAGAGCUCUCUUCAGGAUGGGAGCAGACUUAAACACCACAAGCAUCUGAAAGAGAGGGAAUAGAGGGACUUAUACAGAUGAUAAUGAGACAUCUUAUGUCUAUCUCUAACUACGCAUGCAAGGGAUCACUGCCCUGCUGGAACGCUGAACUCAGAUACAGAUGUGGACAUGCAGAUGAUGAGUUGUCUCCAGUUUACUGAGACAUUCAGUCAAAUAUCAAGUAUUAGAGGCUUACAUUUUUCAUAUAAAUGCAUAGUUAACUUGAUGUAUGAAAGGCAGAUUGCAUGACAAGUUGUACCACUUUGAAUAACACAAACGUUACAUUAUUCUCAAAGAUACUUUACGAUGAGCAGGAUCAAGAGCUUCAGUACGAGGCUUUUGCAGCAGUACACAAUUACUCACCAUUGUCCUGGAGUGUUUCCACUUGGUCAGCUUGUUCAAUAUUCUCAGCAGAUUGAUACAAGAGAACAGGUUUCUCCAACAGAACUGAUUGCUGUCUCCUGCUUCCUAAAGAUAGAAACAAAUAACAGAGGCCCUCGUCAUACGUUGAAAAACUACCUGCCAAGCUGAAUUUCAUCCACAGAGGAUCAAUCAGAUGUCUGGCCGACAGUGUUUUCACUCACCAGGCUCUCUGCGGUGAGCUCAGGCAUCUCAUGGACCACACAGUGAGGAAAGUCCAGCACACAUAUGCUGCAAUAAAAACACAAAAACA